UACGAGGGGGCGAGCGUUGUUCGGAAUUAUUGGGCGUAAAGGGUGCGUAGGCGGUUUGGUAAGUCUGAUGUGAAAUCUAUGGGCUCAACUCAUAGUCUGCAUCGGAAACUGCCGGGCUUGAGUAUGGGAGAGGUGAGUGGAAUUCCUGGUGUAGCGGUGAAAUGCGUAGAUAUCAGGAGGAACACCUGUGGCGAAAGCGGCUCACUGGACCAUAACUGACGCUGAUGCACGGAAAGCUAGGGGGAGCAAACAGG
rnacentral:rRNA from 1 species